CACGGACUCUUUAGGGCGCUGCACACUCGCUCUCUCAGCACAUUCGCGCUCAGAAAGAAGCGCGAAUCGUUAAAGCAGACUAACGUGGAAACAGGUGAAGAGACGAAGACAUCAGCAGGAGGGAGGACGAUCCCCCAGUGUGAGGACGACCCCCACCACAUGAAUGGGGGACAGGAGGCGCAGCUUCCAGCCCAGCUGGUAGGAAAGUCCUCCUCAACUUCUCUGUAACUAUGGACUCUGCCUGUUGCCAUGCGUGCAGGCGUUUCGGUCCACAGUGAUGUCAGUCAGUGCUUUUUAAAGAUGUGCAGGGUGUGAAAUCUCCUGUUUGAUUGUUAAAUGUUCGUUCACUUUGUUUGUGCUCCAAAUAAAUUCACUUCAUAGAUGAAACAGUU